rnacentral:rRNA from 1 species
AGGACGAACGCUGGCGGCGUGCUUAACACAUGCAAGUCGAGCGGAAAGGCCCUUCGGGGUACUCGAGCGGCGAACGGGUGAGUAACACGUGAGCAACCUGCCCUUAGCUUCGGGAUAGCUCCGGGAAACCGGAAUUAAUACCGAAUAUGACUUUGGCUGACAUCAGCAGAAGUGGAAAGUUUUUCGGCUAGGGAUGGACUCGCGGCCUAUCAGCUAGUUGGUGAGGUAACGGCCCACCAAGGCGACGACGGGUAGCCGGCCUGAGAGGGCGACCGGCCACACUGGGACUGAGACACGGCCCAGACUCCUACGGGAGGCAGCAGUGGGGAAUAUUGCGCAAUGGGCGAAAGCCUGACGCAGCGACGCCGCGUGGGGGAUGAAUGCCUUCGGGUUGUAAACCCCUUUCAGCAGGGACGAAGCGAAAGUGACGGUACCUGCAGAAGAAGCGCCGCUAACUACGUGCCAGCAGCCGC